rnacentral:rRNA from 1 species
GAUGAACGCUGGCGGCGUGCUUAACACAUGCAAGUCGAACGGUGAAGCCAAGCUUGCUUGGUGGAUCAGUGGCGAACGGGUGAGUAACACGUGAGCAACCUGCCCUGAACUCUGGGAUAAGCGCUGGAAACGGCGUCUAAUACUGGAUACGAGCUGCGGAGGCAUCUUCGUGGUUGGAAAGAUUUUUUCGGUUUGGGAUGGGCUCGCGGCCUAUCAGCUUGUUGGUGAGGUAAUGGCUCACCAAGGCGUCGACGGGUAGCCGGCCUGAGAGGGUGACCGGCCACACUGGGACUGAGACACGGCCCAGACUCCUACGGGAGGCAG